UUACUAACAGGAAUAGUUUCCUAAAAAGAUUUGAUGUGGAUAACAGAGCAGUCAUUUCCCAUUUAUUUCAUCAAUGGGCCAAAAAGAAGGCAUUUCAAGAUCCUAAGAGGUUGAUUGAUAAGGUUGGCUUUGUAAUUGAGGAACGACUG